rnacentral:rRNA from 1 species
GGUGAACGCUAGCUACAGGCUUAACACAUGCAAGUCGAGGGGUAGCAGGGUAGCAAUACCGCUGACGACCGGCGCACGGGUGAGUAACACGUAUCCAACCUACCGUUUACUCGGGGAUAGCCUUUCGAAAGAAAGAUUAAUACCCGAUAGUAUAAAGAGUUCGCAUGUUCUCUUUAUUAAAGGAUUCCGGUAAAUGAUGGGGAUGCGUUCCAUUAGAUUGUUGGCGGGGUAACGGCCCACCAAGCCUUCGAUGGAUAGGGGUUCUGAGAGGAAGGUCCCCCACAUUGGAACUGAGACACGGUCCAAACUCCUACGGGAGGCAGCAGUGAGGAAUAUUGGUCAAUGGGCGUUAGCCUGAACCAGCCAAGUAGCGUGAAGGAUGACUGCCCUAUGGGUUGUAAACUUCUUUUAUAAGGGAAUAAAACGGGGAACGUGUUCCCCUUUGCAUGUACCUUACGAAUAAGGAUCGGCUAACUCCGUGCCAGCCGCCGCGGUAA